GCCACAGCUCAGGGGUAGAGCAUUUGCUUUGCUUGCAGAAGGUCCUAGAUUACGAUCCCCAGCAGCAGCA